rnacentral:tRNA from 2 species
GUUUAAAUAGUUUAAUAAAAACGUUGGUUUGUGGUGCCGAAAUUAUAAGUUAUUUAUUUUAAACC